rnacentral:ncRNA from 1 species
UUGGAAAGUGAUCUCUGACUGCGUGCCUAUUGAAGAAUGAGCCGGCGACUCAUAGGCAGUGGCUUAGUUAAGGGAACGGAACCCACCGGAGCCGUAGCGAAAGCGAGUCUUAAUAGGGCGAUUGUCACUGCUUCUGGACCCGAACCUGGGUGAUCUAUCCAUAACCAGGAUGAAGCUUGGAUGAAACUAAGAAGAGGUCCGAACCGACACAUGUUGAAGAAUCAGCGGAUGAGUUGUGGUUAGGGGUGAAAUGCCACUCGAACCCAGAGCUAGCUGGCCGACUCUUGGGGAAGAUCAGCCUGUUAUCCCUAGCGGGGACUAGUAACCGUCUUAGACUCAAGACGAAAAAAUCCCAAGGAGUAUGCGGC